rnacentral:tRNA from 1 species
UCCUGUGUGGCUCAGUUGGUAGAGCAUGACACUUGCAAUGCCAGAGUUGUGGAUUCGAUUCCCAAAGGGG